GCCACUAAUUGAUUGGGGAUUGCAUAGACUCACUUCUCUUAAAUCUCUCUGUAUAGAAAAUGGAUGUCCCGAUGCAGUGUUGUUUCCACAAGAAGAGAUAGGAAUGACGCUGCCCUGCUCUCUCACCUCUCUCGUCAUCAGCAAUUUCCCAAAACUAGAAACCCUAACCUCCAUGGGCUUUCAGGACCUCACCUCUCUGGAGUUCUUGUACAUCGAUUUUUGCCCAAACCUCAAGUGUCUCCCGGAAAAGAAGAUGCUUUCUUCGCUUUUGCAGCUAGAUAUCUGGGGUUGUCCAGUGCUAAAAGAACGGUGUGAAAAGGAUAAAGGAUCAGAGUGGUUCAAGAUUGCCCAUAUACCUUGUGUGAAAAUUGAUAACAGAUACAUCUAUGAUUCCGGCUAAUUCUGUUUCGGAGGAUAAGGGUUCAGACAAUAAUUCUUCAGAACAGCAAAGUUGACAAGAAAAGAGUUAAGGACUCAAAGUCGCAGGAUAUGAUACUAACCACGACCUUAUCUACAAAAUGCUUGUUGUCUGUUGAGUGUAAAGAUUGAAGUUGCAGAAAGGGAUUUCACAUAGGUCUCCUUGGUGCUGGAUGUUAUAUGGAGCAGAGGUUUAUGAAUUUUCUUUGGUAUUUUUGGGACCUGCCAACUAUGGAUGUCUGGAAGGUUGAAUGACCUGUGAGACCAUAGCUGCAGUUGUGAAAAUGACAUUGGUUGCAUCUGGAAACUUGAACUCAUCUUCUUUAAUCAAUAGUUCCGGACUAGUAUAACUAAAGGUUCUUUCAUUUUAUUGAAAAGAAUCAGAAAAUCCAGCGUUCCUGUGCUCAAUUGUGAAAUAACGGCCUAUCAUCUAUGAAUACAUGGAUAAAAGAUUCAUCUAUUACUUGAAGGUGGAAAAAAAACAAUCAUUUCAUCUCAUCAAGAAGAAAAUGGCACAAGUAAAGAGUAUAACUUCUUCCAUAUUUGUAAUGAAACCUAAGUAUGGAAGUUAAAAAUUCCUUUUUAUUCUUCUCUUUUACACCACUUUUAAUAACCUUCAUUAUUUAUAUAUUUAUAAUUGUACAUUGCUAACAGAAUGGUGCAAAGGAAGGUGAUAAAGAACAAGAGUGUUUCAACAUUGUCCACGUGUUCUUUUCCAAAUUGAUGAUAGUUUCAUAUGUUAUCAAGACGAAUUUGACUAAAAUCAGUUAGAGGAUGUCCCAGGUAUGACAAUUUGGAAAUGCAUUGGAAUAGUUGUAAAACUUAGAACUUUAGGAGGAUUUUGGUCCACAAUUAUUUAUGAUAUUGCAUAUAAAAAACAAUUUUGAGAAAUUUGCGUUGCUGGUGACCAAAUCUUGCAUAUGUUACAUGUGGCAUACAAAAGUUCAGUAAAUUUGGAUAUAUAUUUCAAAGAUGAAAUAGAUUGUAUAUUCAUCUAUGAUCCAGAGAAGUCAAAUUGAAAGCUGCUAAUAUCUGAAAAGUCAAGGUAAGGAUGAGGGGUUACAAGUUACAUUAUCCUUUGCUUAUACUUAAUGUUAGGUAUUUCAAUUUGGAAAAGCAUUUCCCCUUUCUUCCUAAUAGAUUUCAAAUUUCAAAAAACAUUUUUGUUCAUCUUGCUACCAUUUUGAAACUUAUACGAAUAUUAUCAUUGUUCAUUUUUCAGGUAUGUGCGGAGUCCAUAUCACUUGUCGCAUAGAUCUUUGUCAGGAAAGAAGGAAUACAGGCAUUCAUGGAAGUUGCAAAAUGUGCGAGACAAUGUAGAUGCUCAGUGAAGGUCUAGCAGCUUGUGCCAUAUUGAAACAAGGUGUGAAAAUGGAUGAUGGGAGGAAAAGAUAGUAAUUACCAACAGAAUUAAUACUUUUUCUGAUACAAUGAUGCAUUGAGCUUAUGCUUUUAUGGAGAAGCUUCCCUGCCUGUGCCUCGAUGUCUGAGAAAUGUAGAUACUGUACCAGCAGUGACAUCGAACCUGGGCAUCAUUAAUCCAUGCCAUUGUUUAAAGCUGUCAAUAAAAGCGGGUACCUUUUUGUUUGGAGACAUGAUAUAUCCAGGUUACAAGCAUGUUAAACCACUUAGAAGUGUGCAAGGUUUACAAAUUACAAUCUGUGAACACAGCGAUUCUGAUAGCAGGCUAACUGAAGAUAGAGAUCAGGAAUAUUGAAUGCUCCUUUCACCUAAAAGGACGAGGUAAAUUUCUCUUGGAUCUCUCUGUGGAUACGGCUUUCUGGCGUAUAAAAGUUGCAGAAGCUUUCGUUCUACAAAAGCAAAUGAAGGAAGUUUAGAAAUGCAGUGUUCAAUUUAUGUUAAAAUAGCAUAAAGGACAACUGGAAAAAGUGAAGGAACAGAGGUUGCAAGAACUAUGACAGAUAGAGUUGUUGCUCAAUUGCUGCAUGCGUGCCCUUGAGAAGGCCUCAGCAAGCACCUUAGAGAAUCACACCUGCUAGAGAGGUUUCAAUUAAAGCUUCAUGAAAGACCAAUAACCUUUGCAGUGGCAGUGUCAAUAUCAAUUUCAUAGAAGCAAAGCCUUGUGGGUAGCCCUGGGCAUUGUGCUUAUUGUACCAACUAAAGGAUAAAUAAACCCAGCUGCUAUGCUGGCUCUCACAUCCCUUAUUGGUAAAGUUAAAAACACUUGGCGAUCCUUUCUCCGAGGCAUUUUGUAAAAAUGAGUACUAUGUUUUUGCCAUGCAGAUUGAUAGAUCAGAAAACCCUUGUCUGCUGUACAUCUUGAUCUGUUUCUCUGCCUGAUUUGACAAAAAGAAAAGACGGUGAUUGUAGCAGCAGGCUAACUCAAGUUUGAGAUCAGGAAUGUUGGAUGCUUCUUUCAUCUAAAAGGAUGAGUUAAAUUCUCUUUUGGAUCUCUCUGGAUUUAGCUUUCUUGCCUAUAAAGGGACUGAAAAGGUUUAUGAAGAGUUCAAGUUGCAGAAGCUUUUGUUCUACAAAAGCAAAUAAAGGAAGUUUAGAGAUGCAGAUGGAAUGAAUUUGCAACAAUCAGCUAAUAUUGGUAGCUAGAAGGACAAUGCUACACUGAUUUAUCUGCUGACACUACCAUUCACCAUAGCCAUGUGCAGCUUGAUGGGCUACCAUCAACUUCUCUUCCUCUAAGAUUUGUUAAUGGUGAUACUAACAUCAGUGGCACAAUCAUCCAAACCAGGAAAACAAAAAUCCCUCCAAAAAUGGUGAUGUAUUUUACUAUUACUACAUGGAAGAUUAAACUGAAAUCAUCCAAAACUUUCUUUCUUGGUAUGUAAUCGGUUUGAACUUUGAAGUGAUCUUUCUGUCUUCCCUUAACACAUAUGUUAAUACAGAUUCCAAUUUGAACUUUGAAAGUUGAUUUCAUUUUCAGAAGAAUUCUUGUCCCAAAGUUUGAAAAAGUUGUGCAGUCAAGGUUGUGACUAGAUAUAAUUUUUGCUUCGAAAAAA